rnacentral:rRNA from 1 species
GAUGAACGCUAGCGGCAGGCUUAAUACAUGCAAGUCGAGGGGCAGCAUGGUGUAGCAAUAUUGGGUGGCGACCGGCAAACGGGUGCGGAACACGUACACAACCUUCCUUUUGGUGGGGGAUAGCCUUUGGAAACGGAGAUUAAUACCCCAUAAGAUAUUGGGACCGCAUGGUUUUGAUAUUAAAGAUUUAUUGCCAGAAGAUGGGUGUGCGUAUGAUUAGGUAGUUGGUGAGGUAAAGGCUCACCAAGCCGACGAUCAUUAACUGGUGUGAGAGCACGACCAGUCACACGGGCACUGAGACACGGGCCCGACUCCUACGGGAGGCAGCAGUAAGGAAUAUUGGUCAAUGGACGGAAGUCUGAACCAGCCAUGCCGCGUGGAGGAUGAAGGUCCUCUGGAUUGUAAACUUCUUUUAUAUGGGGCGAAAAAGGGCCAUUCUUGGUCAACUGACGGUACCAUAUGAAUAAGCACCGACUAACUCCGUGCCAGCCGCCGCAGUAACAC